AGGGUAUUAAUCUUAAUUGGUAAAGAGUAGUGUUACGGCCGCUAAAUUGUAAGUUCGAGUCUUACAUACCCUA
rnacentral:tRNA from 1 species